CAGCAGCAGCCGCGGUAAUACGGAGGGUGCAAGCGUUAAUCGGAAUUACUGGGCGUAAAGCGCACGCAGGCGGCUUCUUAAGUCGGAUGUGAAAUCCCUGAGCUUAACUUAGGAAUUGCAUUUGAUACUGGGAAGCUAGAGUAUGGGAGAGGAUGGUAGAAUUCCAGGUGUAGCGGUGAAAUGCGUAGAGAUCUGGAGGAAUACCGAUGGCGAAGGCAGCCAUCUGGCCUAAUACUGACGCUGAGGUACGAAAGCAUGGGGAGCAAACAGGAUUAGAUACCCGGGUAGUCCCUGUCUCUUAUAC
rnacentral:rRNA from 1 species